GAUGAAGAACGUAGCGAAAUGCGAUAAGUAAUGUGAAUUGUAGAAUUCAGUGAAUCAUCGAAUCUUUGAACGCACAUUGCGCCCUCUGGUAUUCCGGAGGGCAUGCCUGUUCGAGCGUCAUUAUAACCACUCAAGCUCUCGCUUGGUAUUGGGGUUCGCGGUUCCGCGGCCCCUAAAAUCAGUGGCGGUGCCUGUCGGCUCUACGCGUAGUAAUACUCCUCGCGAUUGAGUCCGGUAGGUCUACUUGCCAGCAACCCCCAAUUUUUACAGGUUGACCUCGGAUCAGGUAGGGAUACCCGCUGAACUUAAGCAUAUCAAUAAGCGGAGGA
rnacentral:misc_RNA from 1 species